UUACUGAUUGUAGACAUUCUCCAAUGUAUUCCAUAAAAUGAGAUCAAAGAAUAACAUUAACAACUUACAGUGCAGUUCUGCCUAUAAAGAGGACCUUACACCAGUUUUAAUAGAUCUUUCAAAUCAAGUAAAUGUUGUUCUUCUUGAUGACUUUAUGUUGUGUAUAAUGUAUAAUUAUUGUAUUGUAUUGUGUAUAAUAUAAUAUAACAUAACAUAAUAUAAUAUAAUAUAAUACAUCUCCUUUGUGGUAUUUAUUCCAUCAGGAAAUUUUGCAUAGAAAGUAUGUACCUUAAAAAUAACAAUGCUCAAUAUUUUCUGCAUGAUAUGCUGUUUACAGUAAGUCACACUGAACUCACUCAGAGGAAUGAACUUAACGUUCCAUACUCAACUCUUAGUUUCAAAGAACUUAGUUUGCUUGUAAUUUGCAGGGG